AGAUGCAUUACUGGGCAAUUCUCUAUUGGCAGUUGGCUGCAGGGAGGAGCAACCUAGCUCACUGCCAAAGGAGAUUUGCCCGGCAAUUCAUCU
rfam:Citrus sinensis cultivar Ridge Pineapple sweet orange scaffold00007_contig_71, whole genome shotgun sequence.